rnacentral:misc_RNA from 1 species
GAUGAAGAACGUAGCGAAAUGCGAUAAGUAACGCGAAUUGCAGAAUUCAGUGAGUCAUCGAAUCUUUGAACGCACAUUGCGCCCUGUGGUAUUCCGCAGGGCAUGCCUGUUCGAGCGUCAUUUCAACCCUCAAGCUCUGCUUGGUGUUGGGCCCCGCCCGCUCGCGGCCGGCCCUAAAGACAGUGGCGGCAGCGCCUGGCUCCAAGCGUAGUACAGCUCUCGCUCUGGGGCUAGGCGGUAGCCUGCCAGAACCCCCCUUCUAUGGUUGACCUCGGAUCAGGUAGGGAUACCCGCUGAACUUAAGCAUAUCAAUAAGCGGAGGA